UGGGGAAUUUUGGACAAUGGGCGAAAGCCUGAUCCAGCAAUGCCGCGUGUGUGAAAGAAGGCCUUCGGGUUGUAAAGCACUUUUGUCCGGAAAGAAAUCCUUGGCUCUAAUACAGUCGGGGGAUGACGGUACCGGAAGAAUAAGCACCGGCUAACUACGUGCCAGCAGCCGCGGUAAUACGUAGGGUGCAAGCGUUAAUCGGAAUUACUGGGCGUAAAGCGUGCGCAGGCGGUUUGCUAAGACCGAUGUGAAAUCCCCGGGCUCAACCUGGGAACUGCAUUGGUGACUGGCAGGCUAGAGUAUGGCAGAGGGGGGUAGAAUUCCACGUGUAGCAGUGAAAUGCGUAGAGAUGUGGAGGAAUACCGAUGGCGAAGGCAGCCCCCUGGGCCAAAUACUGACGCUCAUGCACGAAAGCGUGGGGAGCAAACAGGAUUAGAUACCCUGGUAGUCCACGCCCUAAAACGAUGUCAACUAGUUGUUGGGGAUUCAUUUCCUUAGUAACGUAGCUAACGCGUGAAGUUGACCGCCUGGGGAGUACGGUCGCAAGAUUAAAACUUAAAUGAAUUGACGGGGUCAUAGCUGUUUCCU
rnacentral:rRNA from 1 species